rnacentral:rRNA from 1 species
GACGAACGCUGGCGGCGUGCUUAACACAUGCAAGUCGAACGGAAAGGCCCUGCUUUUGUGGGGUGCUCGAGUGGCGAACGGGAGAGUAACACGAGAGUAACCUGCCCUUGACUUUGGGAUAACUUCAGGAAACUGGGGCUAAUACCGGAUAGGAGCUCCUGCUGUAUGGUGGGGGUUGGAAAGUUUCGGCGGUUGGGGAUGGACUCGCGGCUUAUCAGCUUGUUGGUGGGGUCGUGGCUUACCAAGGCUUUGACGGGUAGCUGGCCUGAGAGGGUGACCGGCCACAUUGGGACUGAGAUACGGCCCAGACUCCUGCGGAAGGCAGCAGUGGGGAAUAUUGCACGAUGGGCGGAAGCCUGAUGCAGCAACGCCGCGUGCGGGAUGACGGCCUUCGGGUUGUAAACCACUUUCGCCUGUGACGAAGCGUUAGUGACGGUAAUGGGUAAAGAAGCACCGGCUAACUACGUG